rnacentral:rRNA from 1 species
GUCGAGGGGCAGCAGGAUCUAGCAAUAGAUUGCUGGCGACCGGCGCACGGGUGAGUAACACGUAUCCAACCUGCCGAUAACUCGGGGAUAGCCUUUCGAAAGAAAGAUUAAUACCCGAUGGUAUAAUCAGACCGCAUGGUUUGAUUAUUAAAGAAUUUCGGCUAUCGAUGGGGAUGCGUUCCAUUAGGCAGUUGGUGAGGUAACGGCUCACCAAACCUUCGAUGGAUAGGGGUUCUGAGAGGAAGGUCCCCCACAUUGGAACUGAGACACGGUCCAAACUCCUACGGGAGGCAGCAGUGAGGAAUAUUGGUCAAUGGGCGCAGGCCUGAACCAGCCAAGUAGCGUGAAGGAUGACUGCCCUAUGGGUUGUAAACUUCUUUUAUAUGGGAAUAAAGUUUUCCACGUGUGGAAUUUUGUAUGUACCAUAUGAAUAAGGAUCGGCUAACUCCGUGCCAGCAGCCGCGGUAAUACGGAGGAUCCGAGCGUUAUCCGGAUUUAUUGGGUUUAAAGGGAGCGUAGGUGGACAGUUAAGUCAGUUGUGAAAGUUUGCGGCUCAACCGUAAAAUUGCAGUUGAUACUGGCUGUCUUGAGUACAGUAGAGGUGGGCGGAAUUCGUGGUGUAGCGGUGAAAUGCUUAGAUAUCACGAAGAACUCCGAUUGCGAAGGCAGCUCACUGGACUGCAACUGACACUGAUGCUCGAAAGUGUGGGUAUCAAACAGGAUUAGAUACCCUGGUAGUCCACACAGUAAACGAUGAAUACUCGCUGUUUGCGAUAUACAGUAAGCGGCCAAGCGAAAGCAUUAAGUAUUCCACCUGGGGAGUAC